AUUGAACGCUGGCGGCAUGCCUACCACAUGCAAGUCGAACGAGUGGCGGACGGGUGAGUCAUGUCUGUGAAACUGCCCGAUGUAGGGGGGUGACUACUGUAAACGUUAGCUAAUACCGAAUACCGUCGGAUGUGCCCAGAUGGAGUUAGCUAGUAGGUGGGGUAACGGCUCACCUAGGAGACGAUCCAUAGCUGGUCUGAGAGGGUGACCAGCCACACUGGAACUGAGACACGGUCCAGACUCCUACGGGAGGCAGCAGUGGGGAAUAUUGCGCAAUGGGCGCAAGCCUGAUGCAGCCACGCCGCGUGGAUGAAGAAGGUGUUCGGAUUGUAAAGUACGUUCAGCGAGGAGGCGGUACUCGAACAGGAAGCAACGGCUAACUACGUGCCAGCAGCCGCGGUAAUAC
rnacentral:rRNA from 1 species